AUUUUAAUAGCUUAUUUAGAGCAUAAUAUUGAAGAUAUUAAGGAGAUAUUUAGAUCUUAAAAUA
rnacentral:tRNA from 3 species